rnacentral:rRNA from 1 species
GCUUAUACAUGCAAGUCAAGGGGGUAGCAAUACAACCGGCGCACGGGUGAGUAACGCGUACACAACAUACCAUAUACUGGGGUAUAGCUUCGGGAAACUGGAGAUAAUCCCCCAUAACAUUGCGAGAGGGCAUCUGAUUGCAAUUAAAGUUUCGACGGUAUAUGAUUGGUGUGCGUUUGAUUAGCUUGUUGGUAGGGUAACGGCCUACCAAGGCGACGAUCAAUAGCUGGCGUGAGAGCGCGACCAGCCACACUGGAACUGAGACACGGUCCAGACUCCUACGGGAGGCAGCAGUAGGGAAUAUUGGACAAUGGGCGAAAGCCUGAUCCAGCCAUGCCGCGUGAUAGAUGAAGGCCCUCUGGGUUGUAAAUAUCUUUUAUCUGGGAAGAAACUCCUCUAUUCUUAGAGGCCUGACGGUACCAGAGGAAUAAGCACCGGCUAACUCCGUGCCAGCAGCCGCGGUAAUACGGAGGGUGCAAGCGUUAUCCGGAUUCACUGGGUUUAAAGGGUGCGUAGGUGGGUUGAUAAGUCAGUGGUGAAAGCUCCGAGCUUAACUUGGAAACUGCCCCUCAUACUGUCAGUCUUGAAUGUCGUACAGGUAAGCGGAAUGUUGCAUGUAGCGGUGAAAUGCUUAGAUAUGUUACAGAACACCAAUUGCGAAGGCAGCUUACUAUGCGAUGAUUGACGCUGAGGCACGAAAGCGUGGGGAGCAAACAGGAUUAGAUACCCUGGUAGUCCACGCCCUAAACGAUGAUUACUCGAUGUUGGCGAUAUACUGUCAGCGUCUUAGCGAAAGCGUUAAGUAAUCCACCUGGGGAGUACGCUCGCAAGAGUGAAACUCAAGGAAUUGACGGGGUCCGCACAAGCGGUGGAGUAUGUGGUUUACUCGAUGAUACGCGAAGAACCUUACCAAGGUAGAAUGUUUUGACCGCUGCGAAAGGUGGCUUUCUCUCGAAACGAUGCAGGGCUGCUGCUGUCGUCGCUCGGUCUGGAAUUGGUAAGUCCGCACGAGCCCACCUUAAUAGUGCAUCAGUAUGCUGGGACUUAGUAACUGCUGCUUAGGUGGAAAGGAGGACAGCUCAGUCUAUGGCCUUAACCUGCUCACGUUCUAUGCGUCAGGUGGCACGCCGAGUGACUUCACGCUUACGGAGGUGCAACACUGGCGCACCUUUCCCGACAAGUUCCGGAU